GAUAAGAUGACUGAAAUUAUAGGUAAUAAAUUGUAAAUUUAUUUAUGGGAUAACUCUCUUAUCA
rnacentral:tRNA from 1 species